AAUUAUCCAUCCAAAACAGGUACCGAGAAAACGUUUCGGUUUUAGUUUAGUGCUGCACGAGAACGAAAUUUAAUGUCAAGAACGUUCCCACAAAAGAACCAAACGGGAAUAGAACUAUUAAGGGGAACAGGAACAAAAUGGGAGCAAAAGGUUCGACAACAUUUCCUUAAAGAGCGUAAGGGCGUUUUUAGAAGGAUAAAAUAUGAACAAAAUUCUGGGGAACGUUUUGCUGGAGAACAAAAUCAAAACAAAAGGUUUGAGAAUUUAACGUUAAGAAUUAUAGGGGUAUCUGCGUGUUAAUAUGAAAAAUCAUUUCAGUGGGAACCACGAUUUUGAAUUCUAAGCCAAAGGAAAGUUGGAUUAUUUCAACUUCCACAUCGUUUAUCACUAGGGUGAACUGUGAAUUUCAUUUUCUGUGCAAGAAAAGUUCGUGUCUUAAGUCUUUCGUUAACUUAAUUUGCAGAAUUCUCUUUCAGUUCUUUUUUGAUUAAUUUUAAUAUUCAAACAUUUCAAACUAGAUGUAGCGCUAUGAGCAAAAUUUUGUUAGUGCCUCCACUCUUCGCGAAUGGUUCAGAGAUAACUUUUUCUUGUUUCGUUCUGUGUCAGAACGUUUCUGAGACUUUAGUUCCCAUAUUGUUCUUCGAGAGAAAGUUCCUUAAACUUUUCGUUCCACUUUGUCUUUUUCCAGAAUGUUUGUUUUCUUAAAAAUAUUUCCGAAAGUAUUGUUCGCAUUUUAUUCGCUUUGGGAACGUUCUCCAAAGUUUUGUUCUUAUAUAAUUCCCGUUAAGAACGUUCUAAACAUAUUUGUUCUACACUUUUU